rnacentral:rRNA from 1 species
GACGAACCGUGCGAACGUUGUUCGGAAUCACUGGGCUUAAAGGGCGCGUAGGCGGCGCACCAAGUCCGGGGUGAAAGCCCCCAGCUCAACUGGGGAAGGGCCUCGGAUACUGGCGCGCUCGAGGGGGAUAGGGGCGGACGGAACUUCCGGUGGAGCGGUGAAAUGCGUUGAUAUCGGAAGGAACGCCGGUGGCGAAAGCGGUCCGCUGGGUCCCUGCUGACGCUGAGGCGCGAAAGCCAGGGGAGCAAAC